UAAGCUUUGCUAAAACGGACGUUGGUAGCUAGCUACUGGAAAUUAGCUACACGGGUCGUUUUCAAAAUGUGACUUUAGCCGCUAGAAAGCAAAAUAGGAUGAUGAUGAUGCCCGAUACGUAUUGUGUUUAUUAUCAGCAGUGAUCGAUUGUAAUGACGCUAUUUCGAACACGCCCUGUCCACGUGUUCCUGAAUGUAGCACUGCACCCGGAUGUAGUGGGUGACUAAGCUAAGGAUCAUGUUGCUAGCCCGGUUUUUGUAUGUCAACCAUCGAACGUUAUAUGUUGACGAUUAUGUGAUGUAUAGCUAGAUAGAUAACUUGGAUGCAGAUUGCAAGCGUGGCUCAUUUUAACCUGUGCGCUUGGGUCAUUUUGGUGAGGAAGCCUAUAAAUCAACACUACUGCAGGAGGAACCUGGGAGAGGCUGGAGAGACCCUGAACUGACACCCCAGCCCUGUCCCAAGCCUAUAAAUCAGCACUACUGCAGGAGGAACCCGGGAGAGGCUGGAGAGACCCUGAACUGACACCCCAGCCCUGUCCCAAGCCUAUAAAUCAGCACUACUGCAGGAGGAACCCGGGAGAGGCUGGAGAGACCCUGAACUGACACCCCAGCCCUGUCCCAAGCCUAUAAAUCAGCACUACUGCAGGAGGAACCCGGGAGAGGCUGGAGAGACCCUGAACUGACACCCCAGCCCUGUCCCAAGCCGUCGUUGAUCUUCCACGCCUCCAUGUCCCAGGUGUAGGUGAGACCCUGAAGUCCCACCCCUGUGACAUCCCAGGGUCCCCUCCCCAGCCUCAGCACCAGCUUCAGCCCCUCUGACGACCUACCAUGCCCCUGAUCGUGGAUGCUGUGUGGGCCGUGUGGAGCAUCGGGGCCGGGGUCUAUGACUACUUCCACACCAGUGCCAUGGAGGAACGCAUUGGCAACCUGGAGAGCGUCCUCACCAUCCACCAGUGUGUCAUAGCAGCUCUGUCCGCAGGCCUCGUCCUCCUCAUGACCUACAUACUGUGGAGAAAACACUGAAGCCAUGGUUGUAUUCAGUCAGUGAGAUGGCACGGGGGGGGUUUCCCCCUAGGUACAGAUCUUGGAUCAUUUCCCCCUCCCUCAAUCCUAUAUGUAACCAGUAGUGGGGGAAAUACUAAACUGACCCAAGAUCAGCAUCUAGGGGCAACUUCACCCUACUCUAGCGGAGAUGGGAGAUGAGACGGUCCUAGAUACUCCAGACCUAAGGACUGCAUUACGGAUAGCAUCGGCUACUCACCAGACUAACAGCCAGUCCCAAAUCACUCCCUAACCCUCCCCUAUUGUCUUAUGUCAUAUCAUGCGAUGACUGUCAGUUUAGGGACGGGGCAUCGUGUAGGAGUGAAGCCACCUAGCAUAAGAUAGGGACCUUGGCACUAACCCUUGGGUGUUGGCAGAUCUGAAGGGUCUUGAUAGGUAUAAGAAGUGUAACACUGGAUCAUCACAUUACUACUGGAGCUCAACAGACAGUCCUCAACCCCUCCCUAGUCCUUCCCCUCGGCCCUGACCCUCAAAUGAACGGUCUGGAUAGGUAUGACAACUGGGUAGGUAUAGGAUUCUGUUUCAUCAAAGCGCUACUAUUAGAAGACGAGCUCAAGAGACCACGAGGAGUUGCUUGUGGAAGCUUCCUGGUGGACAAUAUCCCUGGUAUACAGUGUAAAAGCUCUAUCAGAGCCUGUUGGAGUAGAGUCAUCCCUCCAGGUCUCGUUCGUUACUCUGCGGUUACUUGGGCAAAGGCUCUAUCAGAGCUGGUUGGAGUAGAGUCAUCCCUCCAGGUCUCGUUCGUUACUCUGCGGUUACUUGGGCAAAGGCUCUAUCAGAGCUGGUUGGAGUAGAGUCAUCCCUCCAGGUCUCGUUCGUUACUCUGCGGUUACUUGUGCAAGGCUCUACCAGAGCUGGUUGGAGUAGAGUCAUCCCUCCAGGUCUCGUUCGUUACUCUGCCGUUACUUGGAACAGGAUUGAGAGGAAGUCUGGGAGCUGAGGGUAGCUGGAGAGGGGUUCUUCAAUCUGAGAGCCCGAGUGCCGUGUUGACUGUAGCCUGGUCCCCAGAUCUGUUUGUGCUAUUGUGUCCACUCCUUGCCAUGCCAAACAUGGAAUUGACAUGAUAGCAAAAACAGAUCUGGGACCAGUCUAUCAUGACUGGCUGUGAUCAGAAAACACUGUAUUUUGCUACUGUGUGGAUACUGACGUCUAGCCUGGUCCCUGAUCUGUUUGUGCUAUCUUGCCAACAAUGACCAUAAUGACCGUAGGAGUGGGCAAGACCAUACAAACAGAUCUAGGACCAGGCUAACUCAGUUUUAAAUUAAACAAGUGGCCUAUCAUCCAUUGAAUGUGAUUGAUUCAUUUUGGUCCUGUUAUAUUGCCGAAAGGGAUUUGAUGGCUUCUGUCCAUGUCACUAGAAUAAGCCAACAUAAUAAUGACACUGUUGGGACUAAACAUUUUAAACCGCUUUUCUUAAAAAGGUGUUUAUCUUUCUCUUACAUGGAAGAUAUCAGACAGUUUAAGCCUAGUCCUUAGAAUAAAAAGCCUGGUCAAUGGAGAAUCUCCGUUAAGUUAAUAUUUUUAUUUUUUUAGCCCAGGACUAGACUUAAACUGUCUGAAAUCUUCCAUGUAAGAGAAAGAUAAACAUUGUAGCUAGCUAACAACAUUGUAACGUUAUUGUUGCUAGCUAACAACAUUGUAACGUUAUUGUAGCUAGCUAACAACAUUGCAACUUGUUACAGUGCGGUGCACAUAUCAGACAAAGAUUAUUAUUAGGCUCAUAUGUAUUCUAACUAAGUUACUGUCGAGGUUAAACAUUGUUACACGUUUCCAUGACGAUGACACCUUUCAACGGUUUUCUCUGUAUUUGUACGUCAUAACAUCUCCUUUUUAAAAUCAUGCUUUUAUCAUUGUUGGAUCUGUUCCCCGUCUCCCUGGUUCACUAUUAUCAUGUCUGUCGGCCAUUGUUGUCGACUGAAGUGCUACUGUGUGUAUUUUGCUGAAUCACUACCUUGUUGUUGGUUUCUAUGUGAACAAACGGUAUUAAUGUCAGGUUAAUAAAUAAUGUGAUUAACUCUG